rnacentral:rRNA from 1 species
GUUGAUAAGGUUAAGUGAAUAAGGGCGCACGGUGGAUGCCUUGGCACUAGGAGCCGAUGAAGGACGGGACUAACACCGAUAUGCUUUGGGGAGCUGUAAGUAAGCUAUGAUCCAGAGAUUUCCGAAUGGGGGAACCCAAUAUCUUUUAUAGGAUAUUACUUUUCAGUGAAUACAUAGCUGAUUAGAGGUAGACGCAGAGAACUGAAACAUCUUAGUACCUGCAGGAAGAGAAAGAAAAUUCGAUUCCCUGAGUAGCGGCGAGCGAAACGGGAAGAGCCCAAACCAACAAGCUUGCUUGUUGGGGUUGUAGGACUCCGAUAUGGUAGUCUGUUAGUAUAGUUGAAGGAUUUGGAAAAUUCCGCUAAAGAGGGUGAAAGCCCCGUAGACGAAAUGCUGACAACACCUAGGAGGAUCCUGAGUACGGCGGAACACGAGAAAUUCCGUCGGAAUCCGCGGGGACCAUCCCGCAAGGCUAAAUACUCCCUAGUGACCGAUAGUGAACCAGUACCGUGAGGGAAAGGUGAAAAGCACCCCGGAAGGGGAGUGAAAUAGAUCCUGAAACCGUGUGCCUACAACAAGUCAAAGCUCGUUAAUGAGUGAUGGCGUGCCUUUUGUAGAAUGAACCGGCGAGUUACGAUUGCAUGCGAGGUUAAGUCGAAGAGACGGAGCCGCAGCGAAAGCGAGUCUGAAUAGGGCGAAUGAGUAUGUAGUCGUAGACCCGAAACCAUGUGAUCUACCCAUGUCCAGGUUGAAGGUGCGGUAAAACGCACUGGAGGACCGAACCCACGUACGUUGAAAAGUGCGGGGAUGAGGUGUGGGUAGCGGAGAAAUUCCAAACGAACUUGGAGAUAGCUGGUUCUCUCCGAAAUAGCUUUAGGGCUAGCCUCGGAAUUGAGAAUGAUGGAGGUAGAGCACUGUUUGGACUAGGGGCCCAUCUCGGGUUACCGAAUUCAGAUAAACUCCGAAUGCCAUUCAUUUAUAUCCGGGAGUCAGACUGCGAGUGAUAAGAUCCGUAGUCGAAAGGGAAACAGCCCAGACCACCAGCUAAGGUCCCAAAAUAUAUGUUAAGUGGAAAAGGAUGUGGGGUUGCACAGACAACUAGGAUGUUGGCUUAGAAGCAGCCACCAUUUAAAGAGUGCGUAAUAGCUCACUAGUCGAGUGACCCUGCGCCGAAAAUGUACCGGGGCUAAACAUAUUACCGAAGCUGUGGACUACACCAUUAGGUGUAGUGGUAGGAGAGCGUUCUAAGGGCGUUGAAGGUCGAUCGUGAGGACGGCUGGAGCGCUUAGAAGUGAGAAUGCCGGUAUGAGUAGCGAAAGACAGGUGAGAAUCCUGUCCACCGUAUGACUAAGGUUUCCUGGGGAAGGCUCGUCCGCCCAGGGUUAGUCGGGACCUAAGC